GCCGGAGGUAGAGGUCACUGCAGCAAGGAGGUUAUCACCCAGGCCGUCAUCACAGAAAUCAAGUAUGUGAGCAGCUAUGGGGCUUGAGAUCCCCUCCUGUAAAUUUCAAAGGUGAAAAAACAUUUAGUACCAAUGUCCAUUGCAGUUAUCACCCAAGGAACAAGCAUCGACAAGGUACCAGGAAGAUGACAUCAUGAAACAUUUUCAGAGCAAUUGAAAAUGCUUGGUUUUUGUCCCCAAGCAUGUUUCUACAUACGAAAAAGAAUUAAGCAAGAUCUGUGUCUGAGAAUCAAUUACGGUGAUGCAAUCGUCGUCGGGGAGCAUAGUCGGUCCUCAACAGCGACGACCGGAUUGUCUCGGCGCUGCAGCUUGUGGGAGCAAAUUCCUUGGAACUGUUCUGUUGGUUCUCCAGAAGAGAAAUGGUUCCGGACGGAGCCGUGAAAGAUCGAAUCGCAAUACGGCGAGGAAGAUGGGUUAUGGCCUUGCGGGAAGAGGAGGGGAGGGGGGCUGGAAAGAAGAAGCCUGUUUCUCCAUGCAGAUGCAAAGAUGACCUUUUAUAGGGUGGCGUCCAUGCAAGUCAGACGCCGGCAAUUUCUGCGCUACAGAUGCUAUUCUUGCGCGGGGUGUGUUAUUUCUGCAUCAACGGCUGGGAUGAUGAAAUAGAAGCGUGAUCGCUUAAUCCUGUGAUUAUAUGGAUUGAUCUGGAAGUAUCCUAUUCCGUUGGUUGUGUCAUGCACGGACGGAUGAGAGAUAUAUACCGGUGAACAAAGUGCAAGAUAUGCUCUGGACGUCCUGUCUAUGCAUAGUGGGAGCGUAAUUUGGCUUCUGUUCUGUCUGACAUGUCAUCGAUUAUAGAUGUGCACCUACUGCUUGGACUGUCGAAACUUUGGAAGAGGCUUUACCAGGCAAGAAAAGGACGUCAAGUCAUGGCUAGAGCUGUGGGUGCCUAAAGAAAGAACUUACGCCCAUGUUUCCAAUCUGGAAUGCAGAAUCUUCAGCAAGCGAAUUAAUGGUACUAUGGCAAUUCUCGAGGUACGUACGUUUGAUUGCUUUGUUCUUAAACAAGCAUCAGAAUUUUCAAGUAGUGGAUAAAUGAAAUCAAGAAGCCAAACAAGCGUUUCAUCUUUCAUGGUAGUAUAUAAUGCGCUCAAUUUCAGUCUAUCAAGUUUUUGCUGAAGACACGUUACGUUGGUGAUGCAAAAAUUUAUACAAAGCAAGCAAGGCAAGCGAGAUGGAUCAUCCAUCUCCUUGCAUAUAUAUAGAAGCAUGCAGCGGAUCGAACUAAACCGAGAGCAAAUUAAGGGCGAAGAGGGAGGUUUGUGUACUUACAAU